GACCCGCUCCAAACCCAUAAUUCCCGGACCUGUACCGACCCAGACCCGGAGUAGCCAGUACAGGUACCGGUUCUGAAUGUUGAUACCCGGAACAGACCGGUACAGGUAUUGGUUCUGGCCUAUUCCCGAUCUGUACCGGACCGAAAUACCCGGUAAAUUAGAGCCAUUGAUAUUUUUUAGGAUAUUACAUCCUAGCCAUCCCUUGUAGGUUUAGUCUCAUCUUCAAACAUAGGGUAUAUCAUUUUAUUUUUUUUCGUUUUUCCCGAUCUGAACUCCUCCUUCACUGAAGAGUCUGAAGAAGAGAACAAGAACAAGUGAACAACAUGCACCAUAGAUCGUGAAAUUUCUUUGUUCAUACGUAUCAAUUUUCACCCCCCACAGAUUCAAGUAAACAAAGAUUCUUAAUAAGCUUAACGAAUAAGGUGACGCACUGACGCAGUGACGCUGAUGCUGUUGUUUGAGUUCUGAAAGAAGUAGAAAAGGCCUUGUAGGCCUUUGAGGUGCUAAAUGGGGAAGCGCAAAGCACCAGAUGAUUCCAAUGAUGCUGAUGGCAUUGCUCCUGUUAGUAUGACUACUCCAAAUACAAGUACAACUAUUGGAGCAGAAGUUGGAUCAUCCUCUCAAGCUUCAUCUCACACAAAUGAAGCU